CGUAAACAAGGUCUCCGUAGGUGAACCUGCGGAGGGAUCAUUACACAAAUAUGAAGGCGGGCUGGAACCUCUCGGGGUUACAGCCUUGCUGAAUUAUUCACCCUUGUCUUUUGCGUACUUCUUGUUUCCUUGGUGGGUUCGCCCACCACUAGGACAAACAUAAACCUUUUGUAAUUGCAAUCAGCGUCAGUAACAAAUUAAUAAUUACAACUUUCAACAACGGAUCUCUUGGUUCUGGCAUCGAUGAAGAACGCAGCGAAAUGCGAUAAGUAGCGUGAAUUGCAGAAUUCAGUGAAUCAUCGAAUCUUUGAACGCACAUUGCGCCCUUUGGUAUUCCAAAGGGCAUGCCUGUUCGAGCGUCAUUUGUACCCUCAAGCUUUGCUUGGUGUUGGGCGUCUUGUCUCUAGCUUUGCUGGAGACUCGCCUUAAAGUAAUUGGCAGCCGGCCUACUGGUUUCGGAGCGCAGCACAAGUCGCACUCUCUAUCAGCAAAGGUCUAGCAUCCAUUAAGCCUUUUUUUCAACUUUUGACCUCGGAUCAGGUAGGGAUACCCGCUGAACUUAAGCAUAUCA
rnacentral:rRNA from 1 species